rnacentral:lncRNA from 1 species
UAUUUUUCACUAUGGUUACCUCAACUAAUGUUUGUCCUCCAUCACCCCCUAAAGUUCAAAAACCACCCCAACCACCUUCCACAAAACCCCCCCAACAACCUUCCCCAAAAUCCCCCCAACAACCUUCCCCAAAAUCCCCCCAACCACCUUCCCCAAAAUCCCCAACUUGUCCUAUAGACACACUUAAGUUUGGUGUGUGUGCUGAUUUAUUGGGUGUGGUUCAUAUUAUAAUUGGUAAGUCACAAUGUUGUUCACUCAUUAAUGGUCUUGCUAAUCUUGAAGCUGCUGUGUGCCUUUGCACUGCCCUUAAAGCUAAUGUGUUGGGAAUCAAC